GAGGAGCGGGCAGUGAGAGUGAGGGCGGGAGGCGGCGCCGCUUUAUAUGGAGACUAGGCUGGGAGCCCGGGGGGAGGAGGAGGAGGAAGAGGAGGAGGAGGAGGAAAGGACCACCCGGCACAUCCUCGCGCACUGGCUGCCUCUGCUCUUGCAGCCGUUGGCCCAGGGCUGAUGUCAUCUACAGCAAAUCAUCUCGCCGUUGGCCCGGAAGCUGCAGGGACGAGGUGGCGCUGAAAGAUGUGAGCCGGCACGGCGGAAGAUCCCAAAACUGACAGUGGGAACAGAUGUCACUCGCAUUACUAUUUCGCUCCCCAAAGCUAUAUCGAGGCAGAAAAAAAUGUCCCAUGUUCCAGUACAAUGAAUCUUCUGACAUUAGACCGACUCUACUUAACCUCUACCCCGGGACUGACGCCCUGGAUGUACGCGGGGAGCAUUAGUGCUCUGCUAACGACGGCCUCGUGUGCACAAGCUAUUGAUCGGCUUGGCUUUCAGCUCACUAACCCCAGCUGCUCCCUGCUAUCAGGGAGAGGCGCCCAGUAAGCGGAGGAAAGAAGGGACAAGCAGGAGAGGUCCACUUCUUCUCUGUCGUCUCGGGAGGCGUUUAGCCAUCCUGCUACAACUCCGCUGCAAGCCUCUCUAUGG